AUUGAACGCUGGCGGCAGGCCUAACACAUGCAAGUCGAGCGAGCGGCGGACGGGUGAGUAAUGUAUGGGAAACUGCCCGAUGGAGGGGGAUAACUACUGGAAACGGUGGCUAAUACCGCAUACCAUCAGAUGAACCCAGAUGGGAUUAGCUAGUAGGUGGGGUAAAGGCUCACCUAGGCGACGAUCUCUAGCUGGUCUGAGAGGAUGAUCAGCCACACUGGGACUGAGACACGGCCCAGACUCCUACGGGAGGCAGCAGUGGGGAAUAUUGCACAAGGGGCGCAAGCCUGAUGCAGCCAUGCCGCGUGUAUGAAGAAGGCCUUCGGGUUGUAAAGUACUUUCAGCGGGGAGGCGUUACCCGCAGAAGAAGCACCGGCUAACUCCGUGCCAGCAGCCGCGGUAAUAC
rnacentral:rRNA from 1 species